UCUUGGUCAUUUAGAGGAAGUAAAAGUCGUAACAAGGUCUCCGUAGGUGAACCUGCGGAGGGAUCAUUACCAGAAGACGCCUCGGCGGAAACGCCGGGGCCUUCGUCCAACCCUUUGUGAACGUAUCUCUAUUGCCCCGGGGGAACCCCGCCUGUCAUGGGCGUGGGCCCCCCCGGUGGCCAACUCAAACUCUGUUUUUAUUGCCGUCUGAGUAACAAACAAAUCAAAACAAAACUUUCAACAACGGAUCUCUUGGUUCUGGCAUCGAUGAAGAACGCAGCGAAAUGCGAUAAGUAAUGUGAAUUGCAGAAUUCAGUGAAUCAUCGAAUCUUUGAACGCACAUUGCGCCCCCUGGUAUUCCGGGGGGCAUGCCUGUUCGAGCGUCAUUACAACCAAUCCAGCCCCGCUGGGUAUUGGGCGUCGCGGCCUGCCGCGCGCCUCAAAGUCUUCGGCGGAAGCCGCCCGUUCCUCUGCGUGAUGACACAUCGUCGCUUGGGACACGGGGGUGAGCGCCCGGAAAACAUCGGCGGAGACGUC
rnacentral:rRNA from 1 species